GGAGUCGGCCAGACAGUCGCGUCAUUCCUUCGGGAAUGCCGAGGAAAGUCCGGGCUCCACAGGGCAAGGUGCCAGGUAACGCCUGGGCGGCGCAAGCCGACGGAAAGUGCAACAGAAAGAUACCGCCGAACGGCCUUCGGGCGCGUGGUAAGGGUGAAAUGGUGCGGUAAGAGCGCACCGCGAGUCUGGCAACAGACCGGUACGGCAAACCCCACCUGGAGCAAGACCAAAUAGGGACCUAAUGGCGUGGCCCGCGUCGGGUCCGGGUAGGUUGCUUGAGCGUUACGGUGACGUAGCGCCUAGAGGAAUGACUGUCCACGACAAAACCCGGCUUAUCGGCCGGCUCCGCCG
rfam:Stenotrophomonas terrae strain DSM 18941 contig_17, whole genome shotgun sequence.